rnacentral:rRNA from 1 species
AUGUACAUGCCUACAACAUAGCAUUAAUGGAUCCCAUUAGAACUCCGUAAUUAAGCGUGCUCGGGAUAGAGUAGUACUGGGAUGGGUGAUCACCCGAGAAGUCCUAGUAUUUUACAUC